rnacentral:snoRNA from 1 species
UGCUGUUGUGAUGAAUGCCAAAAAUGUUCAACUGCUCUGACAGACUGUGACUGACAAGGCUAUUCUGAACAUUG